GUGCAUCCUUACAUGCAGCUUUGUGACUAAUCUACUUUACUUGAAUCUGCUUAUCUUUGAAGACAUCAAAGAUCACCCCCUCUUUUUGGUCUUUAUGCAUUAUCAAUCCAUAUCCACAUUGAUGAUUACUUUAGUCGUUUUCAUAAAUGGCCUUCCAAGAAUAAUUAGGAUCUUUUCAUCCUCCUUCAUCUCCAUCACCAAAUAGUCAAUCAGGAAUUCAAGCCUUUCCAUUCAAACCACAAUAUCCUCCACCACACCAUAUGGUUUCUUAGAUGAUCCAUCUGCCAUUAGCAAAGAAAUCUUUGUCGGCUUCAAUCUAAGACCACCAAUCUUCUUGAGCAUAGAUAGGGGCAUCAAAUUAAUGCUUGACCCUAAAUCAAGUACAACUUUCCCUAUUUUCACAUUCCCAAUGGUGCAAGGAAUUGUAAAACUUCCUAUAUCCUUCACUUUUGGAGGACAUGAUUUCUUCAACAAGACACUGCAACUACUCUAUUCAUCAGUAGCUUCCUCAUCUAGAUGUAUCUUUUCCCUGAAGAACUGCUUCAUACGCUUUGAAUAGGUAGGAAUUUGUUGCAAUGCUUCAGUCAAUGGUAUAGUAAUCUCCAAUUGAUUGAAGAUCUCUCGAAAAUGCUCACAUUGUCUCUCUUUAUCUACUCUCUCACGCCCCUUUGGAUAAGGAAGAAUUUUUUCAUUUUUCUCACUUUUUUCUGUCCCCUCUUCUUCUUUUCUUUUUCCAUCUCACCUUCACAUAUUUUCUCUUCUUUUUCCUCUCUCUUCUCUAACUCAACGCUAUCUUUUUUCUCUUCCACUCUCUCCUCAACUAUACUCACUAUGGGCUUACACUAUUCAUAGUGUUGCAAAUCUCGUUGAAAUUGGUCAGAUGUUCAUAUGGACUUUCAUGAGACAGUCUAUUGAAUUGGUUGCUCUUCACCAAUUGUAUCAACGCCGGAUUCAUCUCCAUGUUUGCAGCAUUGACCCUCAGCCU
rnacentral:lncRNA from 1 species